rnacentral:rRNA from 1 species
UACGGAGGGUGCAAGCGUUAUCCGGAUUCACUGGGUUUAAAGGGUGCGUAGGUGGGUUGGUAAGUCAGUGGUGAAAUCUCCGUGCUUAACAUGGAAACUGCCAUUUGAUACUACUGGUCUUGAAUUUUUCUGGAGGUUAAGCGGAAUAUGUCAUGUAGCGGUGAAAAUGCUUAGAUAUGACAUAGAACACCAAUUGCGAAGGCAGCUUACUACAGGGGACAUUGACACUGAGGGCACGAAAAGCGUGGGGGGAUCAAAACAGGA